rnacentral:sRNA from 1 species
GUCAACUACCCCCGGCUAAAGCCGGAGGCAUGAAGCCUCGAAGUUGACCAGCCUCAGCCAGGGUGCAACUUGCUCCAUCGGGCUACGUUAUCCCGGUUACGACACCAUGGGGUGCGUGAGCCAGCUCCAGGCCCUGU